rnacentral:rRNA from 1 species
UACGGAGGAGGCAAGCGUUAUCCGGAAUUAUUGGGCGUAAAGCGUCCGCAGGUGGCGAUUCAAGUCUGCGGUUAAAGACUGGGGCUUAACCCUGGAAAGGCCGUGGAAACUGAAACGCUAGAGUGGAGUAGGGGUAGAGGGAAUUCCCGGUGUAGCGGUGAAAUGCGUAGAGCUCGGGAAGAACAUCGGUGGCGAAAGCGCUCUGCUGGACUGCAACUGACACUCAGGGACGAAAGCUAGGGGAGCGAAUGGG